rnacentral:rRNA from 1 species
GGGCGGUUCCCCCUUCGGGGGGACAGGGUGACAGGUGGUGCAUGGUUGUCGUCAGCUCGUGUCGUGAGAUGUUGGGUUAAGUCCCGCAACGAGCGCAACCCUCGCCUCUAGUUGCCAGCAUUCGGUUGGGCACUCUAGAGGGACUGCCGGCGACAAGUCGGAGGAAGGUGGGGAUGACGUCAAAUCAUCAUGCCCCUUAUGACCUGGGCUACACACGUGCUACAAUGGUUGGUACAACGAGUUGCGAGUCGGUGACGGCGAGCUAAUCUCUUAAAGCCAAUCUCAGUUCGGAUUGUAGGCUGCAACUCGCCUACAUGAAGUCGGAAUCGCUAGUAAUCGCGGAUCAGCACGCCGCGGUGAAUACGUUCCCGGGCCUU